rnacentral:rRNA from 1 species
GACGAACGCUGGCGGCGUGCUUAACACAUGCAAGUCGAACGGUAAGGCCCUUCGGGGUACACGAGUGGCGAACGGGUGAGUAACACGUGGGUGAUCUGCCCUGCACUUCGGUAUAAGCCUGGGAAACUGGGUCUAAUACCGGAUAGGACCCUGGGAUGCAUGUCCUGGGGGGGAAAGCUUUUGCGGUGUGGGAUGGGCCCGGGGCCUAUCAGCUUGUUGGGGGGGUGAUGGCCUAACAAGGCGACGACGGGUAGCCGGCCUGAGAGGGUGACCGGCCACACUGGGACUGAGAUGCGGCCCAGACUCCUACGGGAGGCAGCAGUGGGGAAUAUUGCACAAUGGGCGCAAGCCUGAUGCAGCGACGCCGCGUGAGGGAUGACGGCCUUCGGGUUGUAAACCUCUUUCAGCACCGACGAAGCGCAAGUGACGGUAGGUGCAGAAGAAGGACCGGCCAACUACGUGCCAGCCGCCGCCGUAA